rnacentral:rRNA from 1 species
ACCCAGACUCCUACGGGAGGCAGCAGUGAGGAAUAUUGGUCAAUGGACGCAAGUCUGAACCAGCCAUGCCGCGUGCAGGAUGACGGCUCUAUGAGUUGUAAACUGCUUUUGUACGAGGGUAAACCCCGAUACGUGUAUCGGGUUGAAAGUAUCGUACGAAUAAGGAUCGGCUAACUCCGUGCCAGCAGCCGCGGUAAUACGGAGGAUCCGAGCGUUAUCCGGAUUUAUUGGGUUUAAAGGGUGCGCAGGCGGCGUGUCAAGCAAGCGGUAAAAUAGCGGGGCUCAACCCCGUCGAGCCGUUUGAACUGGCGCGCUUGAGAUGUCGAGAGGUAUGCGGAAUGCGCAGUGUAGCGGUGAAAUGCUUAGAUAUUGCGCAGAACUCCGAUUGCGAAGGCAGCAUACCGGCGGCGAUCUGACGCUGAGGCACGAAAGCGUGGGUAUCGAACAGGAUUAGAUACCCGCGUA